rnacentral:rRNA from 1 species
CCUACGGGUGGCAGCAGUGAGGAAUAUUGGUCAAUGGCCGGAAGGCUGAACCAGCCAUGCCGCGUGAAGGUCAGUGCCCUAUGGGCGUUAAACUUCUUUUGUGCGGGAGCAAUACUGGUCACGUGUGGCCAGACGAGAGUACCGUACGAAUAAGCAUCGGCUAACUCCGUGCCAGCAGGCGCGGUAAUACGGGGGAUGCAAGCGUUAUCCGGAUUUAUUGGGUUUAAAGGGUGCGUAAGCUGUCAGGUAAGUCAGCGGUGAAAUUACCCCGCUCAAAGGGGUGAAGUGCCAUUGAUACUGGCGUGCUGGAAUGCGGAUGCGGUAGGAGGAAUGUGUGGUGUAGCGGUGAAAUGCAUAGAUAUCACACAGAACACCGAUUGCGAAGGCAGCUCACGGUUCCGCGAUUGACGCUGAUGCACGAAAGCGUGGGUAUCAAACAGGAUUAGAUACCCGAGUAGUC